rnacentral:lncRNA from 1 species
UUUUUUUUUUUUCAAGUGUAACUUCAUCGAUUCUUCACAAUAAUCCUCGGAGGUGGCUAUUAGCUACGUUUUGCAAGCCGAGGAAAUUAAGGCUCAAAGAGAUUAAAAGACUUGCAUAAGAUCCUGGCCAAGGGGUGGAGCUGGAUGGGAACAGGUCUGUCUGACUCUGAGCUGAGCUGCAAUCAGUCCAUCAUGGCAGAAAAGUUGAGGAUGAAAAUUUGGGAGCGGAGAGAAAAAUAUUUCACAGAGAUCCCAGGAAGUCAGAGAAGAGCCAACCAGAUGGACAGAGAGGACAAGAAAGACAGGAUCAUACACAAAUACACCUAUUUAAAAAGCCAAGAGUGUUUAAGCCCAAUGUUACAGGCCACGUGUGUCACCAGAGAGGCCAGGAGGUGUUUGAAGAAAAACAUGGACUUUGGAACCAGAAGCUCAGGGUGAGUCCUGUCUGGGUUACUCACUGUGUUGACCUUGGGCAGUUCACUUAAC